rnacentral:rRNA from 1 species
UAGGGCGACCAGUGGCAUGGCGUAGACCCGAAACCUAGCGAUCUAUCCUUGACCAGGUUGAAGCGUGGGUAAAACCGCGUGGAGGACCGAACUCACCACAGUUGAAAAUGUGGGGGAUGAGUUGAGGAUGGGAGUGAAAGGCUAAUCAAGCUGGGAGAUAGCUGGUUCUCCGCGAAAUAUAUUGAGGUAUAGCCUCGGACGAAUUGCAUCGGGGGUAGAGCACUGAAUGGGCUAGGGGACCUACCAGUUUACCAAACCCAAUCAAACUUCGAAUACCGAUGACAACUAUCCGGGAGUCAGGCAGUGGGUGAUAAGAUUCAUUGCCAAAAGGGAAAGAGCCCAGAUCGACAGCUAAGGUCCCCAAAUCCAGGCUAAGUGGUGAAGGAUGUGGGAACGCUCAGACAACCAGGAGGUUGGCUUAGAAGCAGCCAUCCUUUAAAGAAAGCGUAAUAGCUCACUGGUCAAGCGAGCCCGCGCCGAAAAUAUAACGGGGCUAAGUCUGGUACCGAAGCUUCGGAUUGUCGAAAGACAGUGGUAGCGGAGCAUUCUCAAGCAGAUACACGGUGUACCGUAAGGAGCACUACCGGGCUUGAGAAGAGCUUAUGCAGGCAUGAGUAGCGAUAAACAGGAUGAGAAAUCCUGUCGCCGUAAGCCCAAGGUUUCCUGGGGAAGGAUAAUCCUCCCAUGGGUUAGUCGGUCCCUAAGCUGAGCCCGAAAGGGGUAAGUGAUGGAAAGUAGGUUAAUAUUCCUACACCACUAGGGAUGGCGUUGAAGCAAGCAGGGACGGAGAAGGGUAUGCUGAUCCGGGCAACGGUUACCGGUUCAAGCCAGUAGGCAGACUUCAUAGGACCCGACAGGGACAAACGUGAGGUUAAUGCCAAGAGGCGAUGAGGUGGAGCUCCGGCUCCGUAACUCAGUGAUCCCAUGCUUCCAAGAAAAGCUGCGUGCAGAGCCACUUUAGUGACCGUACUGCAAACCGACUCAGGUGGGCGGGGUGAAUAUCCCAAGGCGCGUGAGAGAACACUGGCCAAGGAACUCGGCAAAAUUACACCGUAACUUCGGGAGAAGGUGUGCCUGCGUCCGUGAAGAGACUUGCUCUCCUAGCGGCUGCAGGUUGCAGAGAAAUGAGGGUAGCGACUGUUUACUAAAAACACAGGACUGUGCGAACUCGUAAGAGGACGUAUACGGUCUGACGCCUGCCCGGUGCUGGAAGGUUAAGGGGAGAUGUCAGCGCAAGCGAAGCAUCGAACCGAAGCCCCAGUAAACGGCGGCCGUAACAAUAACGGUCCUAAGGUAGCGAAAUUCCUUGUCGGGUAAGUUCUGACCUGCACGAAUGGCGUAACGACUUCCCUACUGUCUCGGUCAGUGACUCAGCGAAAUUGUAUUGGGGGUGAAGAUACCCUCUACCCGCGGCAAGACGGAAAGACCCCAUGAACCUUUACUGUAAGUUGGCAGUGAAGUUCGGGUCAGCCUGCGUAGGAUAGGUGGGAGGCUUUGAUAUCGGGAUCCCGGUUUCGAUGGAGCCAACCUUGAAAUACCACCCUGGCUGUUCUGGACUUCU